ACACACACUCACACACACACACACCCACACGCACAAACAUCCACGCAGCUGGCGCGCAGAGCAGUGGCGCCCAUCCUCUCCCUCAGUGCGACUCCUCCGAGGGAUCAGGAGUAGACUAAGUCAAACUUCCAGCAGCUUAAGAUUUGUGCGCAACCUUUGAAGGAUCGAAGUCGUCAAGACAAGGGGAUGAAAACAUGGACCUAAUCUCAGUGGAGUUGAGAGGCGUCUAGCAGACUAACAAAACAGGAAGGUGACUUUGGUGAUGUUACCAUGUGUCAGCUACCAUCUUCUCUUAUCCUGCUUUGCUCAGAACUGAUGCUCAGAUGGUGUGCCCCUCCAUGUGCGCUCCACUUCAACUCUCCCUGACCGUUUCAUGGGCCGCAAACCCAGCCAAGCAUCCACGGCCACUGCUCGACUCAACCCUGCCGCGCUCCGUCCACCUCAUUCUUAACCCCUCACCCCUGACCUCCACAACCCUCAGCCCCUCACUUCCUUCUGUCCCACUCUCCGCCAAGCCUUUCCUUACAUUCUGACAAUUCCUAGCUCUCCCAGAGCCCAACAUGGUGGCCCACGUUCCCGCUCUAGUUCUGGUCAUGCUGUGUCAAGGCGUCCUGCUCUCAGACCCGCCCCUGCUGCGCCGGGAGAUCCGCAUCGAGGGCGACCUGGUGCUCGGCGGCCUGUUCCCAGUGCACGAGAAAGGAGCUGGGAUGGAGGAGUGUGGCCGUGUGAAUGAGGACAGGGGGAUCCAGAGGCUCGAGGCCAUGCUGUUCGCCAUAGACAGAAUCAACAUGGACAACGCUUUGCUGCCAGGCGUCUCCCUCGGGGUCCACAUCCUCGACACCUGCUCCAGAGACACCUAUGCACUGGAGCAGGCUCUGGAGUUUGUAAGAGCAUCCCUCACUAAGGUGGACGACACGGAGUUCAUUUGUCCGGAUGGAUCGUACGCUCUGCAGGAUGACAGCCCGCUCGCGAUCGCUGGAGUCAUAGGAGGGUCCUUUAGCAGCGUCUCUAUCCAGGUUGCCAAUCUUCUCAGGCUCUUCCAGAUCCCUCAGAUAAGCUAUGCUUCGACGAGUGCCAAACUCAGUGAUAAGACGCGUUAUGAUUACUUCGCCCGCACUGUGCCCCCUGACUUCUACCAGGCCAAAGCCAUGGCUGAAAUCCUGCGGUUCUUCAACUGGACCUACGUGUCCACCGUGGCGUCGGAGGGCGACUACGGGGAAACUGGCAUUGAGGCGUUUGAACAAGAGGCACGCAUGAGGAACAUUUGCAUCGCAACUUCAGAGAAGGUGGGUCGUUCUAAUGCCAAGAAGUCCUAUGAAGCUGUGAUCCGCCAGCUCCUCCAGAAGCCAAAUGCCCGCGUGGCCGUCCUUUUCCUGCGAAGCGAUGAUGCCAGAGAGUUGCUGGCAGCCGCUGCCAGGCUUAACACCUCCUUCAUCUGGGUGGCCAGUGAUGGCUGGGGUGCACAGGAAAGCAUUGUCAAGGGAAAUGAGGUCACCGCUGAAGGAGCCAUCACACUCGAGCUGGCAGCCAAUCCCUUACCAGAAUUCAACCGAUAUUUCCUCAGUCUGAACCCCGUCAAAAACCAUCGUAAUCCCUGGUUCAAGGAUUUCUGGGAACAGCGGUUCCAGUGCUCCUUGGGACCGGGAGGCGUGGGAUCGGGCGAGACACCUCUCCCACCGUGUGACAUGAACCUGUCAGUGGACAAGAGUACCUUUGAACCAGAGUCCAAGAUCAUGUUCGUGGUGAACGCUGUGUACGCCAUGGCCCACGCCCUCCAUAACAUGCAGCGGAGCCUGUGCUUCAACACCACCAAGUUGUGCGACAGCAUGAAGGCCUUGGAUGGGCGCAAGCUCUACAGGGAUUACAUCCUUAAUGUCAGCUUCCCAGCCCCAUUUUCUCCUCCAGGCAGCGAGACCGUGGUGAAGUUUGAUACCCAGGGGGAUGGCAUGGGCCGAUACAACAUCUUCAGCUACCAGCGCUCUGGCGAUCGUUACGGUUACGUGCCGGUAGGUGAAUGGGCCGAGACUCUGAGUCUGAGCAGCGAGUUGAUUCACUGGCCCAGAGAAGUAGUGCCCACCUCGCAGUGCAGUGACCCCUGUGAACGCAAUGAGAUGAAGAAAAUGCAGGCAGGUGAGUACUGCUGCUGGAUCUGCACUGCCUGUGAGCCUCAUGAAUACCUGGCUGAUGAGUUCACCUGCUCGCCAUGCGCUCCAGGCCAGUGGCCCACUGAUGACCUCACUUCCUGUUAUGACCUUCCUGAGGACUAUAUUAUGUGGGAAGAUGCUUGGGCCAUUGGUCCCAUUACCAUUGCCUGUGUAGGGUUCAUGUGCACUGGCCUGGUAUUUUGGGUGUUUAUCAGACACAACAACACACCGCUGGUGAAAGCAUCUGGAAGAGAGCUGUGUUACAUCCUCCUCUCAGGAGUCUUCAUGUCCUACGCCAUGACUUUCCUCUUUCUGGCCAAACCCUCCCCUGCCAUCUGUGCUCUGAGGCGCCUCGGCCUAGGCACGUCAUUUGCCGUCUGCUACUCCGCCCUCCUCACCAAAACCAACAGGAUCGCCAGAAUCUUCAACGGUGUGAAAGACGGAGCGGGCGCGGUGAGGCCACGCUUCAUUAGCCCAUUCUCUCAGGUUUUCAUCUGUCUGAGUCUAAUCUCCGUCCAGUUGGUGAUGGUGUCGGUAUGGCUGCUGCUGGAAGUUCCCGGGACGCGGCGCUUCACGUUGCCAGAGCGACGACAGACCGUCAUCCUCAAGUGCAAUGUACGCGACUCCAGCAUGCUCCUGUCACUGGGAUAUGACGUGCUCCUGGUCAUCUUGUGUACUGUGUAUGCCUUCAAGACCAGGAAGUGCCCCGAGAACUUCAAUGAGGCCAAGUUUAUUGGAUUCACGAUGUACACUACCUGUAUAAUUUGGCUGGCCUUUCUUCCCAUCUUCUAUGUUACAUCUAGUGACUACAGGGUUCAGACCACUACCAUGUGCAUCUCAGUCAGUCUGAGCGGUUUCGUGGUGCUGGGCUGUAUGUUUGCUCCCAAGGUCCAUAUCAUCAUGUUUCAGCCCCAGAAGAAUGUGACCAGCCACCGACUUAACCUCAAUCGCUUCAGUGUCAGUGGGGCUGCCACCACAUAUGCAUCUCAUGAACUGCAGAGUGGAACAGUGCAAUGAGAUUUCAGAGAAGAAGCAAGACAUUAUAAAGUGAGAGCAAUUUUUAACAAGCUUCUGUCAGCGCCCACUUCGUCCCAACCGUGUGCAACGGGAGAGAAAUUGUCGACUCCACCACUUCCUCUCUGUGACCAGGUCCAGUCCGCCCUCCAAACCCUGUCCCUGCGACUGUUAACCAAGCGAUGACCAUUAUCCCCGUCAACCCUCUUUCCCCCCGCGCCGCAUACACUCACACACGUUAACAUUCACACGCACACAGACAAACACAGACAUCUUCCUUGUGGACUAGAACUGUAUCGUUUCACAAAUGUAGAAAGUGUGUAACUAUAAUUAAAUUAUUUUCUAGGGAUGUAUAUACAUGGAAUCGACAUUGUUGUAUGUAGAGAAACAAAACAACAAAAAAAAAGUUUUUAGGAGGAAAUUUUUGGAGCCUUUGUUUUUGAUAGCUUUGUUAUGACGCUGUGUAAAUAGACUUGCGCUUAAUCAUGGUAGGAGGGGCCGUGUCCCUCAGUCUGGAUGCACAUUUGUGGCUCUGCUUGCCUCACCUGCAAUACCCCACAGACUUUUUAUUCUCAUGCUUUUUUGUAGGUCUCAUUGUAAUAACUAAUUCCGUAUGCAUUUCUAUUGUGUAUCUGUACAUUUGUAUAUUAUACAACCGAUGGUUCAAACAGCACAAUGUGGACAGUCUCGUGACCCUAGGAUGAAUGUGGACUAAAGUAUAAACAGCAUAGGCUGGAACAGCUCGAACGGACUUGUACAAAGAACAAAAAAAAAAAAAAAAAAAAAAUCCAUAACAGUUUUCAGUUUGAGCAUUCAUCUGUUCACAUCUCGACAGAUGUGCGCUGCAUCUUAGAUCUAUAUAAGAACCUAUUGUGGCUGUUUUUGGAGGAGAACAUGUUUUGCUUUUGAUACAAAUGUUCAUUUUUUUCUAUCUCUAAUCAUGGAAUCCCUUUAUCUAAAUGGCCAUAGUUCCAGACAUGUGUUCACCGAAGCAACGGUGUUUUGCUCCACUCUGAAACUGCUGCCUCUUUGGAUAUCUGCCGUAAUGGAUUACUAAGAAUAACUAAUAGCAGCUUCUUUGCCUCAAAAACUGUCAACACGGACCAUGCUGCAAUAGUUCUGACCGCAAAAAAACAAAAAACAAAAAACAAAUCUGUGUCUUGUCCGGUAAUUAUGAACUUCACGUACUCUGACGACUCAAACCUUGAUGGAGGAUAAUGGCCUGCUUUGCUGAACACAUGUUGAUUUUUUUUCCCACUACAGGGGAGUGGUAGCCUAUGUUUUUUGUGCCCCGUAGGUACAGUACGUGGUUUGAUGUACAGUAUGAUGUUCUGAAUAUGGCUAUGUGCCUUAACGUAUGUUUGAUAGUGCUCCAGGUAGAGGUUGCAAGAGAUCAGUUUUGCAUUACCAGCUGCAAAUCCCUGUUUGGUAAAUGUAAAAGUGCCCUCGGUAUAUGCUUCAGGGCAACACUAUGCGAUUAGUUUUAUUCCCUAUCAAGCCUUCUGCUUCUGAUUGUUUACCUGAAGUAUUGGAAAACUGACUCUCUAGGCUAAAAAUGACUUUCUCUAUCAUCUUUUUUUUCCUUUUUUUUACAUCUUAGCAGCUCCAAUAAAAAGAAGGGAGGGGGAAGAGAAGCUCAUAUACAGUACGAUUAAGAUGAAGUCACUGACUUGUCGACUUAUUGAAGUGUGCGGUUUACAUGUCUGUGUUAAAUGUGUUGAUGUUGAGAGGCGCAGUGGAGCAGCUGGCUUCGGCAGUCCCAGAGAGGCUCACGGGAGAGGAAGCCGAGCACACAGUGUCAGCUGCUGGCAGAUCCCGGCUAACAAAAGGAUAUUAGAGCAGAACUCAUAUGCAUAACAUACAUAAGAUUGAUCAAAACGCCCAUACACUCUCACGUUCCACUCUCUGUUUGUAGCUGAAAUUAAGACAGACUCUCCACCGGAUGAUAGUUGUGAGUGAUGUGGUGGCGGAUAAAUGACAAGAUGUUAGUAGAAGAGAAUUUAAGCAUCCUAAAUGAGCGGUCUAAUUUAGCAUAUCUCCUUUUAAAGAGUGGACUCUCGUGCAAUAAUUUAUUGCUAUUAGGAUGGUAGUAAAUUAUUAAUGAACUGAUCUUAAAUGUUUACAUAUGCUGUCUAAAAUAAAGUGUGACUGUUACAGUUGUGGUUUUCAAGAAAAUAUGUGAUCGGAAUCAGUUAUUUUGUUUUCUCCUUUUCCUGCAGAAGAGCAUUUGUAAUCAAUUUCCCAACGCGUUAGAACUCAUACGGACGAUGCGGGGAGAACUGUUGAACGUUCAUCUCUUAACUGGCUUUCACCUUUGCACAGCCGGUCUCCCGCAGCCCCCUGUGAUUAUCACACCGAAUGAUAGAUUGAAAGAAUUUCAGAGGAUGCGCCAAGAUGAGUCGACCUACAUUGGGCCAUGUGUCUUAGGUGCAGGGGGCUGCGGGAGAGAGCGAUGUGGCAGAGCAGAGGGAAGCUGCUGCUGGAUUAUGUAAAGCACUCCCACAGCCCAGAAGUCACAGCGCUUCUAUGGAAGCUCAAAGCAUCUCAGAGAUUCGCAGUCUUUGUUAGAAGAAGGCUUAGCCAUUCACUCAGUGGUCCUGCUCCCACAAGAUACACCCAGCAUGGCAGGUUGCUAUGGACAACCACCACUCCAUCCGCUGCUGGAAUGUCUAUUUGUCUGCAUGAAGGCAAGGUUGGGAGGAGGGGUGAGGAGUGGCCGAAAGAAGAGGAACAGAAAGGGUUGCUGGUUCGGAUUCAAAUUGGCAGCGACUGAUGAGAUUUGGCUCAGCAAGGCCCUGUACUAUACUCAGGACUUAUAAUGGCCUCACAAAUAGAACACUUAACCCUGAUUCUCCUCUCAUUUAGUCCAGUCUAGUCUCGGGCUCUCACAGUCUUCUUCUGACCCCCUCUUUCACAAAAAUCGCUUCACCCCUUCACCUUUUCCCUCACCAACUUUGUCCACCUCGCCUCCGCUCCAUGUGUGAAACUUGCCACCGAGUCAGCCUCAGCCAAGACCACCUAAGCCAGACCAGCAGACUGGGAGCCCACAGUUGAAUUGAAACACUUAGAUCUGGGUGCCCACUGCAGCACAUGCCAUCAAGGCCGGCCUUGAGGAGGUUGGAAAAGGAGUGAGGGGAUCUUAGAUAAAGGCUUUUGAGAGUGUGUGGGGAAACAAUAAAUUGGUAUUCGCAUGUAGUGAAAAUGCACCGCUUUGAAGUGCAUCACAUUAUUGAGUUUAUCAUUUCAUGUACCCGGCAACUGUCUCUGGAAGCUUCCUUAAUUAGCUUUACUCAUGAAUGUCCCUUUCAAACAGCAAGGCAUCCACUUUGGACAUUGUUCCUCUAUUCAGCCUCUGCCAACUGCCAUGUGCUUUACGAAGGUUCUCUGUGUUAUGGCCUCCAACUAUACAACAGAAUCUGUCCUUGGCCCCUGGAACAAGACAGGAUCUCUGCAGGCGACACAAAGCCGAGGUCACGCUGAACUCUGGAACUGGCCGAUCACAAAGCAAUAGUUCCGUGUUAAUGAUAUGUGCAAUAAUGAGGCUGUGAUGACAUCAUAAUAAAUAACAACAAGCAAACA